AGCGAACGCUGGCGGCAGGCUUAACACAUGCAAGUCGAACGGGCAUAGCAAUAUGUCAGUGGCAGACGGGUGAGUAACGCGGGGGAACGUACCUUUUGGUUCGGAACAACACAGGGAAACUUGUGCUAAUACCGGAUAAGCCCUUACGGGGAAAGAUUUAUCGCCGAAAGAUCGGCCCGCGUCUGAUUAGCUAGUUGGUAGGGUAAGGGCCUACCAAGGCGACGAUCAGUAGCUGGUCUGAGAGGAUGAGCAGCCACAUUGGGACUGAGACACGGCCCAAACUCCUACGGGAGGCAGCAGUGGGGAAUAUUGGACAAUGGGCUGAGGCCUGAUCGAGCCAUGCCGCUUGAGUGAUGAAGGCCCUAGAGUUGUAAAGCUCUUUUGUGCGGGAAGAUAAUGACGGUACCGAAAGAAUAAGCCCCGGCUAACUUCGUG
rnacentral:rRNA from 1 species